rnacentral:lncRNA from 1 species
CUGCAGUUUGGCUCCACUGGUCUGGUGUAGAACAGGAUCUCUGGAGGCUGUUUGCAACUGUGGUCACAAAAUUCAAUGUUCUGGGAGAAUUGGAAGCAGCUCAAUUUUUUGGGGGGCCCCUUACACAGCUCAAGGUCUGGGCCCCAUGGCCUGACGGUGAGUAUGCCCAUAAGGCCCACUCAUAAGUUCCACCCACCCAUG